CUGAUUAACAAACUUUCUAGUUGUGAUAAGCAUUGCAUGUUUAAUACAUCUAAUCAUUAUUUCGAUUCAAUCGAUGGUUAUAUCGUCAUCAUAACAAACUCUCCACACGCUCUUUUUCUUUUCCUUCUUUCAUUAAAUUUUACUGGUUAAUGUAUGCCCCCUAUAAGUCUCUAGAGUAUGCACAGUGACGUCAUUCAGGUGUUUUACAGUUUAUAUCGUCAUAUAUAUACAAAUACUUUAAUUAAAGCAGCAUAUUUUGAGAAACCAUGAUAAGUCUUCUAGAAACACUCAUAGUGAUUGUAAUAUUACGAAACGAAAUUAUAUUAUUAUAUAAUAACUACCGUGAAACACGAAUUUGAUUGGUCAAUAGCCGUGCAAUAAUAAUAAUAGGUCAAUAGCCGUGCAAUAAUACUAGCCCAAUGCUCUGCCAACUGAGCUACGCGGUCAGGUCGGUUCAGGUUGGCAGAGCAUUGGGCUAGUAUUCCAAUGGUCGUACGUUCGAUUCCCACCGUGGCCAGGCAUAUUUUUCAAGCCUGCCUGGUGUGGAUACACACUCAGAGUAACAUCAAAGCAUCUUAUUCACCUGAGUACACUGCACCAACACAGCAGAUAUCACAUUAUACAUCGUUAUGUAUAAACUUGCAUGAAAACAACCGUUAUUAAAUAUGUUUUUCAGGCCGAUAUGAUUUGCAUUUCC